UGUACAUGAAAAUAUCCAAUCCAUGAAGCUUUUUCUUGCAAAGAUGGCAUGAACUCAAGAAAUCCACAUCCUCAAACACCAUCCCACCACCAACAACCACCGGAGGCGACGGUGAACAAAACACUCCACCACCACCACCAUUAGUGCUAACCCAAUAUGUAGUAACAUGACCACCAUUAACACAACUUUUUUUCUUAACUCCAUCAUCAAAAUACUCUCUUUUCUUGAUCAAAUUAUUCCCCACAUGUGAUAUCACACAUGUAUACUCCUCCAAUAACUCAAUCUCAACAUCUUGAGUUGAGUGUUUGCUAAAUAUGGGAAUUGGGUUGGAUCUAGGAGAAACCGAAAAAACCGGGUUUUGCGUACUAUGAACCAAUGAUUCAUCACUCAAAGCUACCACAAUUCCCAGCCCGACGACACCUGUUUUUAGAGAUAAUCUUGACUUUUUAGUGCUUUCCCUCUUAAAAUCUGCCAUUUUUAGACAAGAUUUUAUAUGG
rnacentral:lncRNA from 1 species